ensembl:antisense
AAUCUCAAGGAAGCUCUUUGGGAGCCAGGAUUCCCAGCACUUAGCUGGUGGGCAAAGGGGCUCAACCCCUUCCCCACAUCCCACCUUCCCUCCUCCCAGUCUUCGGGAUUGCGGAGCUCCUGCCGGGAUCCAAGAGCAGGCUCUUGGAGGUCGAAGAAGGAUAUAACCUCCAGACCUGGAAUUUAAGACGCAAGAACCAGCCAGCAAAAGUGGCAGCCGAGCAUGCGAAUGAAGAUGUAGAAGUCUCAGCUCCUUCAAUGCUAUGUCUGCCAAGAUGCUGCCACACUCCCUUCUUGAUGAUAAUGGACUGAACCUCUGAACCUGGACGAGAAACUACAGCAUUACUUCUGCAGAUUCACAAAGGAGUCCACGUUCCAAGAUGAGAGAAAUACCAGAAGCCGAUGGCUAUUCUACUUGACUGAAUGAAAAGAAAAGGAAGGCACUUCCUGUCAAUCCUGCUUUGGAUUCCUAGACAGUUUAAGAAGCACCAUUGAUCUGAUCAUUGGCACUGAGGAGGAAAUGCCCCAUCCGCAGAAGACAUGCAGGGCUCAACCCAGCUUGACAUGGGCAAAUGAAAAUUGGAUGGAGUUAUGGCGGGACACUCUUACUGGACACUGAAACCAUCCUGCAGCAAAUUGCUUCUGUGAAAUCUUUCUGCUGUUUGGGAGGUAUCCUUCUAUAGCACAGAAACGGAAACUUCAGCCAGAAGAGAGGAAUUCAGUGACUCCAUGCCAACAGAAACAGAGCUCUGCAUUUGUUUCCUGAGCCUACUUGCACUUGGAAGGUUUCUUUCCUCACAAGAAACAUGUGUUACAGGAUAUAAAAGUGGCUUUCCGUUUGGGGUUAGAACCCGAAACAGAAAGAAAACGGAGAAAAAUUUCAGCUCAGCCUUUCUAGAUUGGAAAUGAUGCAUGAAUGUUGUUGUUUCUCCAAGACUUCAGCACAGGUAUAACAUGGUGCUAAUUUAAUCACCCGGUGAAUCACCUUUUCUCUGUGAGAUGUUAACACUGAUGUAAGAUGUUUCCAUGUGAGGAACGGGAAAGACUUGAGACACAAAAAAGCUUCAAGGAUUGGUAAAUAGAAUAAUGUGGUCUGUACCCCACUAAUUUUUCUUGCCAUCCAUGAGAGGCCCGAUGGGCUGCAGCAAUGCAUCAUUUAGAUCGCCCCUUCAGCUGGUUCAUGGAAAACUAACAAAAAUUGAUGUUGUUAUCUGGGGUUUUCGUGUGUGAUUUGUCUAACUCUUUACAUUCAUUAUGGGUUUUGCCCUUCUUUAAUAAAAUGGCCUGAUAUUGCCU